rnacentral:rRNA from 1 species
CAGUCGCCGCGGGAAUACCGAGGGUGCAAGCGUUAAUCGGAAUUACUGGGCGUAAAGCGCGCGUAGGUGGUUUGUUAAGUUGGAUGUGAAAGCCCCGGGCUCAACCUGGGAACUGCAUCCAAAACUGGCAAGCUAGAGUACGGUAGAGGGUGGUGGAAUUUCCUGUGUAGCGGUGAAAUGCGUAGAUAUAGGAAGGAACACCAGUGGCGAAGGCGACCACCUGGACUGAUACUGACACUGAGGUGCGAAAGCGUGGGGAGCAAACAGGAUUAGAUACCCGCGUAGUCCCUGUCUCUUAUAC